rnacentral:rRNA from 1 species
AGCGAACGCUGGCGGCAGGCUUAACACAUGCAAGUCGAACGCUCGUCUUCGGACGGGAGUGGCAGACGGGUGAGUAACACGUGGGAACGUACCCUUUGGUUCGGAAUAACGCAGGGAAACUUGCGCUAAUACCGGAUACGCCCUUUUGGGGAAAGGUUUACUGCCGAAGGAUCGGCCCGCGUCUGAUUAGCUAGUUGGUGGGGUAACGGCCUACCAAGGCGACGAUCAGUAGCUGGUCUGAGAGGAUGAUCAGCCACACUGGGACUGAGACACGGCCCAGACUCCUACGGGAGGCAGCAGUGGGGAAUAUUGGACAAUGGGCGCAAGCCUGAUCCAGCCAUGCCGCGUGAGUGAUGAAGGCCUUAGGGUUGUAAAGCUCUUUUGUCCGGGACGAUAAUGACGGUACCGGAAGAAUAAGCCCCGGCUAACUUCGUGCCAGCCGCCGCCGUAACAC